AAAGGGGAGGACGGGUAAGGCACGGCAGGCGAUGAUGACAAUACUGAACUCCGGUAAACAUCCAGAGUGAAAGGAGAACCAGCAGGAGGAGGACCCAAUAUUCGUUGUGCACCAGGUGUGACCAUUGGGAAUGGCGGCUGCUCCACACGAUCAGGCAAAAUUGAUGGAAGUGUCACAGUUGAAUAAGUAUUCCCAGGAGUAAACCAAGAAGAAAGAUUCCCCAUUUCUGGAUUGUUCAGUCUGAGACUAGAUGCAGGCAGUUGGGAACGCAUGCUUCCCUGAUGAUUAUCCUGGAAUAAAAACUGUUCCCCGCUGGAAUCAUCAACACCAGGCCCAUUAUUUAAAUCAAAGUCCCUCCUCACUUCCCCAGUUGGCAAGCCAAUGGAUGAUGAUGUUUUGGAAGGUAACACUGCACCAUCCAAUCUACUACUGCUACUCACAGAGCACUGCCCUACAUCACCAGGUUCAUCAACUCUAUUUAAAUCAAGAUCAAGUCCUCCAGAACAGCGAACAGCAGGAGAAUCUAUUACUUCAUUCUUCAAUGCAGCACGAUUAGUCAUAUGGUCCAACGGAGAGAUCAACUCUAGAGCAGAAUCUCGAGAAUUCAUUUCAUCAAAAGUUCUUUCAUCUGGAACAUUCAACACGAUUAGUCAUAUGGUCCAACAGAGAGAUCAACUCCAGAGCAGAAUCUCGAGAAUUUAUUUCAUCAAAAGUUCUUUCAUCUGGUACAUUCAGGUCAAUAUCUAAUUGUGGACGAGUGUGCUUGCUGGUAGAAGCUUCA
rnacentral:lncRNA from 1 species